CACAAGUGCCAUGUUAAUUCCUAGAAGUGUUUGGGAAGUAUAAUAGAGGGUUGUAAGUGAAUAAAGAAGCUUGAGUUCGUGUUGAUUUUGAAACAGAAAAGGAAGUGAAGGAAGAAAAAGGGAAAGGGAAAGAGAGGGUCUAAGAAGUAAUUUAACGAGAGCUCUCCUAAACCGGCUUUCAAAGAGCUCCAGAGCGCUGGAAGAGAGGAAAGAAGAAGCUGGUUGGGAAGUUGGAAGAUAUGGUGGAUCUCGCUGUUUAUAUUUGCUCUAGCACACUUGCAAAAAGCAAAUUGGAGAAGAUCUUUAGCCCACUGAUUGUCUCUGUAUGUGUUUUCUUGAAACGGAAUCUUUUGCCCUUAAUGAAUCCUAACACAGCUGGACAGCUCCUUCCCGGACACUGAGAACCCUCACCCCAAACUGACCCCAAUUUGACACCACAAGAUGAAAUUUUACCGCCUGUUAAAACCAUUUCC